UUGAACGCUGGCGGUAUGCUUAACACAUGCAAGUCGAACGGAAACGAUACUAGCUUGCUAGUAGGCGUCGAGUGGCGGACGGGUGAGUAACGCGUAGGAAUCUGCCUGAUAGUGGGGGAUAGCCCGAAGAAAUUCGGAUUAAUACCGCAUAAUCUAUUCGUAGUAAAGUGGGGGACUUUCGAGCCUCACGCUAUCAGAUGAGCCUGCGUAAGAUUAGCUUGUUGGUAGGGUAAAAGCCUACCAAGGCGACGAUCUUUAGCUGGUCUGAGAGGAUGAUCAGCCACAUCGGGACUGAGACACGGCCCGAACUCCUACGGGAGGCAGCAGUGGGGAAUAUUGGACAAUGGGGGCAACCCUGAUCCAGCAAUACCGCGUGUGUGAAGAAGGCCUGAGGGUUGUAAAGCACUUUCAAUUGUGAAGAAAAGUUAGCGGUUAAUAACCGUUAGCCUUGACGUUAACUUUAGAAGAAGCACCGGCUAACUCCGUGCCAGCAGCCGCGGUAAUACGGAGGGUGCAAGCGUUAAUCGGAAUUACUGGGCGUAAAGCGUGCGUAGGCGGUUUAUUAAGUCAGAUGUGAAAGCCCCGGGCUUAACCUGGGAACUGCAUUUGAAACUGGUCAACUAGAGUAUGGUAGAGGAAAGUGGAAUUUCUGGUGUAGCGGUGAAAUGCGUAGAUAUCAGAAGGAACAUCAAUGGCGAAGGCAGCUUUCUGGACCAAUACUGACGCUGAGGUACGAAAGCGUGGGUAGCAAACAGGAUUAGAUACCCUGGUAGUCCACGCCGUAAACGAUGAUAACUAGCCGUUGGGGGGAUUUACCCCUUAGUGGCGAAGCUAACGCGUUAAGUUAUCCGCCUGGGGAGUACGGCCGCAAGGUUAAAACUCAAAGGAAUUGACGGGGACCCGCACAAGCGGUGGAGCAUGUGGUUUAAUUCGAUGCAACGCGAAGAACCUUACCUGGUCUUGACAUCCUGCGAACUUUCUAGAAAUAGAUUGGUGCCUUCGGGAACGCAGUGACAGGUGCUGCAUGGCUGUCGUCAGCUCGUGUCGUGAGAUGUUGGGUUAAGUCCCGUAACGAGCGCAACCCCUAUCCUUAUUUGCCAGCACAUCAUGGUGGGAACUAUAAGGAGACUGCCGGUGAUAAACCGGAGGAAGGCGGGGACGACGUCAAGUCAUCAUGGCCCUUACGACCAGGGCUACACACGUGCUACAAUGGGAAGGACAAAGAGCCGCGAAGCCGCGAGGUGUAGCUAAUCUCAUAAACCUUUUCGUAGUCCGGAUUGGAGUCUGCAACUCGACUCCAUGAAGUCGGAAUCGCUAGUAAUCGUAGAUCAGAAUGCUACGGUGAAUACGUUCCCGGGUCUUGUACACACCGCCCGUCAAGGG
rnacentral:rRNA from 1 species